AUGCUGCUCAUCCAUUCGGUGUUGUGUGCUAUCCCUGUGCACUCCAUGCUGGCGUUGGAUUUGCCUGCAAAGACAAUUUCUGCGCUAUCUAAGAUUUGCCGUGGUUUCUUGUGGUGUGGUAAGAAGGAGGCCUGCGGAGGCAACUGCUCAAUAUCAUGGGAAAUGGUGUGCAGGCCCAAGUGGGCAGGUGGCCUAGGAUUGGCGAACUUGAAGUGGCUCAAUAAGGCUCUUCAAGCGAGAUGGUCGUGGAUGCAGAAGUUUGACAAAGGAAGACCAUGGGUAGAGUUUCCAAUCAGCGUUUCGGUGGAGUCGGAGGCUUUGGUGCAAGCAGCGGCAGUUACAACUUUGGGUGAUGGAAAAUCCACCUUGUUCUAG
rnacentral:rRNA from 1 species